CCAAAGUCGAUGGUUAAGUGGGAAACGAAGUGGGAAGGCUCAGACAGCCAGGAUGUUGGCUUAGAAGCAGCCAUCAUUUAAAAGAAAGCGUAAUAGCUCGACUGGUCGAGUCGGCCGCGCGGAAGAUGUAACGGGGCUAAACCAUGCACCGAAGCUGCGGCAGCGACACUUAUGUGUUGUUGGGUAGGGGAGCGUUCUGUAAGCCUGCGAAGGUGUACUGUGAGGUAUGCUGGAGGUAUCAGAAGUGCGAAUGCUGACAUAAGUAACGAUAAUGCGGGUGAAAAACCCGCACGCCGGAAGACCAAGGGUUCCUGUCCAACGUUAAUCGGGG
rnacentral:rRNA from 1 species